GUCAGAAAUGACUAAUUGGAGCUUUCAGACUUAAGAGUUGUAGUCAAACAAACAGACUCGACUGUAUUGUUGCACCUGGUUUUAAUGUUCAUUUCAGGUCUUUGUUAUUUUGUGUCCUUUCAUAAGGGGCAGUGCAGUAUGUCUGUAGUGUAUAGUGGCAGUUCAGGAAGAGGACAAUGCAUUAUGACACCACCUAACUAGAAAAAUGUUGUCCUGAUGGGAGGGUUUACCCAGCAAUAGAGGUGUGAAUAUUUAGUAGAAGUGCACAUACAGAGAUGAGAGCACAGCACCAAAAACAAGGAUAUUCUUAAAUUCAGUCACAACUCACAACAAGAUGAUCACUGUCUUCUGCUUAGCCCUUAAUAUCAUACUGGUUUCAGGUUCGUCUCUCAGUGAAAAAGUCCACCAGACUCCAGCUGAUAUGUGUACCAACCAAGGAGAAAUUGCCAAAAUCAACUGUUCACAUGAGAUUGACAACUAUAACCGAAUCUUCUGGUACAAGCAAACAGACGGACAACUACAGUUCCUGGGAUAUAUGUAUAAUAACAAUGGAAACCCAGAGAAUGGAGUGAAUGUGAAUAUAGAAGGGGAUGCAAAUAAAGGCCAAACCUGCACAUUAAUAAUUGAAGAACUCCAGCUGAACAGCAGUGCAGUGUACUUCUGUGCUGCUAGUUUACACAGUGCUACAUAUCACUGCUCCUCAGUACAAAAACCUCAUCACACUCUUCAUCUCUGUAGCACACAGCCUCUUGCACCUGUAUGCUUUCCUUUCAGUAGGUGGUGGUAUAUCUUACCUCAGCCCUUUAUACUGAACCAGUGGAGUGUAGUGGUAGUCGACAUGGUUAUAAUAUUAGAAGAUGCAUGAUGACACCACCCACCAUGCCUUCAAGUUGGUUUGUAGAUAGGAGGGUUUACUCUAAGGAGGUUGGAAAUAUUUUCAGUGUAACUGCUGCUACACUGAAGAAAACACAAUGAUUAACAGCAACAACAUAUUGAUCUUCUAUUAUUCACAAUAACCAACUGACACUCCCAUCUUCAGCUCUUUAUAUCCAUGUAUGUUUUAGAGACUGGCAGUUUGCGUCUAACAGAACAUGGAUAUUAUCAUU
rnacentral:lncRNA from 15 species